rnacentral:rRNA from 1 species
CCCAGACUCCUACGGGAGGCAGCAGUGGGGGAUAUUGCACAAUGGGGGGAACCCUGAUGCAGCGACGCCGCGUGGGUGAAGGAGUGCUUCGGCAUGUAAAGCCCUAUCGGCAGGGAAGAAGCAAGACGGUACCUGACUAAGAAGCCCCGGCUAACUACGUGCCAGCAGCCGCGGUAAUACGUAGGGGGCGAGCGUUAUCCGGAUUUACUGGGUGUAAAGGGAGCGUAGACGGCGAUGCAAGCCAGAUGUGAAAGCCCGGGGCUCAACCCCGGGACUGCAUUUGGAACUGUGUGGCUGGAGUGUCGGAGAGGCAGGCGGAAUUCCUAGUGUAGCGGUGAAAUGCGUAGAUAUUAGGAGGAACACCAGUGGCGAAGGCGGCCUGCUGGACGAUGACUGACGUUGAGGCUCGAAAGCGUGGGGAGCAAACAGGAUUAGAUACCCUUGUA